AUGAUGCGCCCCAAGGAUCAGGCACUAGUGGAAUUAUGUGACCCAGAAAGGCUCCAGGUGUGUCUGAGGCUUCAAAGCCUGCCGAUGCUCUCUCUGGCGCUCAGAGCCCUCACCAUGUUGUCAGAGAGACCUAAGAUGGAGUCCAGUGAGGUGCAAGAGCGCUCCAUUCUUCUCUUCAAAGACUUGAUGGAGUGUGUGGUGUGGUGGAAAAAAGGAGAAAUGAAGAAGACCAUGCGCAGGGCCCUUAUUCCACUGUUGUUCCGGAUGAGUGAUGAGACUGAGAGCGUGGCCAAGGCGUCAGCAGUAGUCCUACUUGCUUGUACAAUGUUCCUGAAGUGGAAACAGCUUGAGCACCUGGCUCAGAACGAAGACAUCACUAGGAUUAGGGAGUACUUGGUAAGGAGAACCGCCCAGCCCCACGCCCCAAAUGGACAAGCCUGCCCGAUGUGCCCAGGCUGUGGGCUGUGCAGCUGUGCGUGGCCUGCGCUGCUCCAGCCCAGAGUCCACCGCCUGCUGCUGCCCUGUGGCUCCCUUCCCUCCAGCACAGAGCCCCAAGGGCUCUUCUGCAGGCCCCCCUGCCUUCCCCACCCCCAGGAUGCGGAGGAGAGCCUAGCCCAUCUGGGCCUUGGCAGCGGGACAGAAGGGUCUCCUAACUCUCUCCAAACCUCGGCCCCACAGAGCUCCUGGCUGGGAGCUGGGGAUGGCCUGGGGGAAAGGGGGAGGGGGGUGCUGGCAGGAGGGACUGGUCCGGCUGGCUGGGGAGGGUAUGUGAGCCCCGCGCCCUUGUGCUUUCUCCAGCUCAAGCAGAAGAGCAGCAGGGUGGACGAAUACCUGCAGCAGAGCCUGCCAUACCUGGAGGAUGCUCAGGCCAACUUGCGACAGGAGGCUGUCAAAUUCAUCGCGUUUGCUGCAUUGCACUCCGGGGACCUAGACAAAGAGAAGCUGCGUAUGAUCAUCACCUGUGAGUGA
rnacentral:lncRNA from 1 species